rnacentral:rRNA from 1 species
GCGGAUGGAGCUGAAAUCAGUCGAAGAUACCAGCUGGCUGCAACUGUUUAUUAAAAACACAGCACUGUGCAAACACGAAAGUGGACGUAUACGGUGUGACGCCUGCCCGGUGCCGGAAGGUUAAUUGAUGGGGUCAGCGCAAGCGAAGCUCUUGAUCGAAGCCCCGGUAAACGGCGGCCGUAACUAUAACGGUCCUAAGGUAGCGAAAUUCCUUGUCGGGUAAGUUCCGACCUGCACGAAUGGCGUAAUGAUGGCCAGGCUGUCUCCACCCGAGACUCAGUGAAAUUGAACUCGCUGUGAAGAUGCAGUGUACCCGCGGCAAGACGGAAAGACCCCGUGAACCUUUACUAUAGCUUGACACUGAACAUUGAGCCUUGAUGUGUAGGAUAGGUGGGAGGCUUAGAAGUGUGGACGCCAGUCUGCAUGGAGCCGACCUUGAAAUACCACCCUUUAAUGUUUGAUGUUCUAACGUUGACCCGUAAUCCGGGUUGCGGACAGUGUCUGGUGGGUAGUUUGACUGGGGCGGUCUCCUCCUAAAGAGUAACGGAGGAGCACGAAGGUUGGCUAAUCCUGGUCGGACAUCAGGAGGUUAGUGCAAUGGCAUAAGCCAGCUUGACUGCGAGCGUGACGGCGCGAGCAGGUGCGAAAGCAGGUCAUAGUGAUCCGGUGGUUCUGAAUGGAAGGGCCAUCGCUCAACGGAUAAAAGGUACUCCGGGGAUAACAGGCUGAUACCGCCCAAGAGUUCAUAUCGACGGCGGUGUUUGGCACCUCGAUGUCGGCUCAUCACAUCCUGGGGCUGAAGUAGGUCCCAAGGGUAUGGCUGUUCGCCAUUUAAAGUGGUACGCGAGCUGGGUUUAGAACGUCGUGAGACAGUUCGGUCCCUAUCUGCCGUGGGCGCUGGAGAACUGAGGGGGGCUGCUCCUAGUACGAGAGGACCGGAGUGGACGCAUCACUGGUGUUCGGGUUGUCAUGCCAAUGGCACUGCCCGGUAGCUAAAUGCGGAAGAGAUAAGUGCUGAAAGCAUCUAAGCACGAAACUUGCCCCGAGAUGAGUUCUCCCUGACUCCUUGAGAGUCCUGAAGGAACGUUGAAGACGACGACGUUGAUAGGCCGGGUGUGUAAGCGCAGCGAUGCGUUGAGCUAACCGGUACUAAUGAACCGUGAGGCUUAACCUU